rnacentral:rRNA from 1 species
UGGGGAAUAUUGCGCAAUGGGCGGAAGCCUGACGCAGCGACGCCGCGUGGGGGAUGAAGGCCUUCGGGUUGUAAACCUCUUUCACCACCGACGAAGCUAACGUGACGGUAGGUGGGGAAGAAGCGCCGGCUAACUACGUGCCAGCAGCCGCGGUAAUACGUAGGGCGCAAGCGUUGUCCGGAAUUAUUGGGCGUAAAGAGCUCGUAGGCGGUCUGUUGCGUCUGCCGUGAAAACCCGAGGCUUAACCUCGUGGCGUGCGGUGGAUACGGGCGGACUUGAGGUAGGUAGGGGAGAAUGGAAUUCCCGGUGUAGCGGUGAAAUGCGCAGAUAUCGGGAGGAACACCGGUGGCGAAGGCGGUUCUCUGGGCCUUACCUGACGCUGAGGAGCGAAAGCGUGGGGAGCGAACAG